GUUCCCAUCGUCUAGAGGCCAAGGACAUCUGGUUUUCAUCCAGAAGAUCGCGGGUUCGACUCCCGCUGGGAAUACCA
rnacentral:tRNA from 1 species